GAAAUGCGAUAAGUAAUGUGAAUUGCAGAAUUCAGUGAAUCAUCGAAUCUUUGAACGCACCUUGCGCUCCUUGGUAUUCCUUGGAGCAUGCCUGUUUGAGUAUCAUGAAAUCUUCAAAGUAAAUCUUUUGUUAACUCAAUUGGUUUCUACUUUGGUAUUGGAGGUCUUUGCAGCUUCACACCUGCUCCUCUUUGUUCAUUAGCUGGAUCUCAGUGUUAUGCUUGGUUCCACUCGGCGUGAUAAGUUAUCUAUCGCUGAGGACACUGUAAAAGGUGGCCAAGGUAAAUGCAGAUGAACCGCUUCUAAUAGUCCAUUGACUUGGACAAUACUUUUAUGAUCUGAUCUGAAGUCAGGUAGGACUACCCGCUGAACUUAAGC
rnacentral:misc_RNA from 1 species